rnacentral:rRNA from 1 species
GACGGAAGGUGCAAGCGUUGCUCGGAAUCACUGGGCGUAAAGGGUGCGUAGGCGGCCGCGCAAGUCUGGCGUGAAAGCCCCGGGCUCAGCCCGGGAAGGGCGCUCGAAACGGCGCGGCUCGAGUGCCGGAGGGGAGAGUGGAAUUCCUGGUGUAGCGGUGAAAUGCGCAGAUAUCAGGAAGAACACCCGUGGCGAAGGCGGUUCUCUGGGACGGUACUGACGCUGAGACGCGAAAGCGUGGGGAGCGAACAGG